rnacentral:rRNA from 1 species
UACGGAGGGGGCUAGCGUUGUUCGGAAUUACUGGGCGUAAAGCGCACGUAGGCGGCUUUGCAAGUUAGAGGUGAAAGCCCGGGGCUCAACUCCGGAAUUGCCUUUAAAACUGCAUCGCUAGAAUUGUGGAGAGGUAAGUGGAAUUCCGAGUGUAGAGGUGAAAUUCGUAGAUAUUCGGAAGAACACCAGUGGCGAAGGCGACUUACUGGACACAUAUUGACGCUGAGGUGCGGAAGCGUGGGGAGCAAACAGG